rnacentral:lncRNA from 1 species
AAAUAAAUUAGAAAUUAGUAACUCAAUUACCGAUCAAAAACAUUAAAAGUAAAAAAGAAUUGUUCAAGUCAAUGAUCGAUCAAAGGAAAGAAGGAUUCGAGUCGUUUUGAAAAGAAGAACAUGGCAAGCGCUGCCGAGGUAUGGAAGAAAAGGGCAAAGGUAUCGUGUUGUGUGGAAUAUAAUAUUAUAGAGUUGAUGAACCGAUAGGUCGGGAGGAAUUUGGGUAGAGUAGCAAUGUAAUAUAAUUUUAUCGAGUGACUGGCGAGUGGCAUCCAGAACAUAGACAAACUAAGUAGUCAGGAGGAAAGGGAUUGAGAUGGAUGGAAAUGAGAUGAGAUGAGUGGUUUACUGAUUACCGGGGAUAAAGUAAAGAACGGUAGAUAAAGUGGGAUUCCCGAGGAUGAUACGAGAUAGGGUAGAGGAGGAUGGGAUGAAAAUGGAAAUGGGAUGGGUAGAGAGGGUUUACAGGAAGUAAUGGGUGGCGUGGCGAGAGUCCGCGCGGAUGGAUCGAUUUGUUGGUGGUAUGGUAAGGUUGAUGAGUGAAAUGAGUUCCCCUUUUUCUUUAUGCGACAGCGGAUGUAACCAUGGAAGAAAAUGGAGGCGCCGUCUGUGUUUGUCCGUAGUAGAGAGUGUGAGGUGAUUUUGAAGAAAUAAGGAGGUGGAGUGAGAGGAAGAAUAGAGUAGAGUAGAGUAGAGUAGAGAAAGAAAGAAAGAAAGAGAAGGAGAUUAAGAAGAGAAAGGGGACGCGAGAGAGAAGGAGUUGCUAGAAAGGAAUAGAGAGAAACAGGGAAAAAGAAUAAAAGAGAGUAGAGGAAAGGAAAGGAAAGAAAAGAAAAGGAAAUGAAAGGAAAUGAGAUGGGAUAUGUGAAACAAUGAGUGUGAGAGGAUGAUUUGGUGGUAGAGAAGGAAGAAAUUGAUGAAUGGAAUGAGAUGAAAAUGGACGUGUGAUUUGAUUGACAAAAGUGAUUUGGCUCGAUUUUUUAGCACUUUUUUUUUGGGAAUUGGAAUUAACUUGUUGACAUUGACAUUGACACUCGUCUUGUCUUGCAGUAUAUUUCUCUUUUCUUUGAGUAUCGCACGAGCCAAGAGGAGCUUAUUCGCAUCCCAACGUGUUGCGAUAUGCGUUGUUGUGUUUCCCCGCUGCCACUGCAACGAGAGAUUCCCCCCCUUGUGGUGAAUCGUGGACGCCAAUGUUUUGCCAAGAUUCAAGCAUCGUCGAUCCUCCUCCCAGACCCAAUGGUAUCGUCGAUCGAAAGCGGGGCUAUUGUCAUUCAAGCAAGCGCGCGUGGAUAUGAUGUCACGGUGACUCAAAGCAAAAGAGGGGAAAAAGGAACGUUGCAAAAAGGGAUGGCAUUCGCGUAGAGGCGAGGGACAAACCAUCGCUAGAGAGCGGCCGAGGCCAAGGUGAAGAAAGACAACGUGAAGGGUUUCGGAGGACAACGUGGUUAUGCAGGGUUGGAGCGGGAGGAAAGGAGAGUGAGUGAGAGGAAGAAAGAAAGAGGAAUGAAAAAGGAACGAUGGAGAGAAUAAAGUAAAAAGAAAAGGAAUGAAAAAAAAAA